AUUGAACGCUGGCGGCCGGCCUAACACAUGCAAGUCGAACGAGUGGCGGACGGGUGAGUCAUGUCUGGGAAACUGCCUGAUGGAGGGGGAUAACUACUGGAAACGGUCGCUAAUACCGCAUACCAUCGGAUGUUCCCAGAUUGGAUUAGCUAGUAGGUGGGGUAACGGCUCACCUAGGCGACGAUCCCUAGCGGGGCUGAGAGGAUGACCAGCCACACUGGAAAGGAGACACGGUCCAGACGCCCACGGGAGGCAGCAGUGGGGAAGAUUGCACAAUGGGCGCAAGCCGGAUGCAGCCAUGCCGCGUGUAUGAAGAAGGCCUUCGGGUUGUAAAGUACUUUCAGCGGGGAGGCGUUACCCGAAGAAGAAGCACAGGCUAACUCCGUGCCAGCAGCCGCGGUAAUAC
rnacentral:rRNA from 1 species